CUACGGGAGGCUGCAGACGAGAAUCUUCGGCAAUGGGCGAAAGCCUGACCGAGCGACGCCGCGUGCGGGAUGAAGGCCCUCGGGUUGUAAACCGCUGUCAAUGGGGAGGAAGUGCAUUGGGGUUAUCCCCUUUGCUUGACCUAUCCAAGAAGGAAGUACGGGCUAAGUUCGUGCCAGCAGCCGCGGUAAGACGAACCGUACGAACGUUAUUCGGAAUUACUGGGCUUAAAGGGUGCGUAGGCUGCGCGGAAAGUUGGGUGUGAAAGCCCUCAGCUCAACUGAGGAAUUGCAUCCAAAACUACCGUGCUCGAGGGAGACAGAGGUGAGCGGAACUCAAGGUGGAGCGGUGAAAUGCGUUGAUAUCUUGAGGAACACCGGUGGCGAAAGCGGCUCACUGGGUCUCUUCUGACGCUGAGGCACGAAAGCUAAGGUAGCAAACGGGAUUAGAUACCCUUGUAGUC
rnacentral:rRNA from 1 species